rnacentral:rRNA from 1 species
UGCCUACGGGGCGCAGCAGUGGGGAAUAUUGGGCAAUGGGCGCAAGCCUGACCCAGCAGCGCCGCGUGAAGGAAGAAGGCUUUCGGGUUGUAAACUUCUUUUCCGGGGGACGAACAAAUGACGGUACCCCAGGAAUAAGCCACGGCUAACUACGUGCCAGCAGCCGCGGUAAUACGUAGGUGGCAAGCGUUAUCCGGAUUUAUUGGGUGUAAAGGGCGUGUAGGCGGGAAUGCAAGUCAGAUGUGAAAACUAUGGGCUCA